CUACGGGGGGCAGCAGUGGGGAAUAUUGCACAAUGGAGGAAACUCUGAUGCAGCAACGCCGCGUGGAGGAUGACACUUUUCGGAGCGUAAACUCCUUUUAUAUAGGAAGAAGAUGACGGUACUAUAUGAAUAAGCGCCCGCUAACUCCGUGCCAGCAGCCGCGGUAAUACGGAGGGCGCAAGCGUUAAUCGGAAUCACUGGGCGUAAAGAGCGUGUAGGCGGAUUAAAAAGUCAGAAGUGAAAUCCUAUAGCUUAACUAUAGAACUGCUUCUGAAACUCUUAAUCUAGAAUAUGGGAGAGGUAGAUGGAAUUUCUGGUGUAGGGGUAAAAUCCGUAGAGAUCAGAAGGAAUACCGAUUGCGAAGGCGAUCUACUAGAACAUUAUUGACGCUGAGACGCGAAAGCGUGGGGAGCAAACAGGAUUAGAUACCCUGGUAGUC
rnacentral:rRNA from 1 species